rnacentral:rRNA from 1 species
GACGAACGCUGGCGGCGUGCUUAACACAUGCAAGUCGAGCGGUAAGGCCCCUUCGGGGGUACACGAGCGGCGAACGGGUGAGUAACACGUGAGCAAUCUGCCCUUCACUUUGGGAUAACCACCGGAAACGGUGGCUAAUACCGAAUACGACCACUUCGGGCAUCCGAUGGUGGUGGAAAGUUCCGGCGGUGAAGGAUGAGCUCGCGGCCUAUCAGCUUGUUGGUGGGGUGACGGCCCACCAAGGCAACGACGGGUAGCCGGCCUGAGAGGGUGACCGGCCACACUGGGACUGAGACACGGCCCAGACUCCUACGGGAGGCAGCAGUGGGGAAUAUUGGACAAUGGGCGAAAGCCUGGUCCAGCAACGCCGCGUGAGGGAUGACGGCCUUCGGGUUGUAAACCUCUUUCAGCAGGGACGAAGCGCAAGUGACGGUACCUGCAGAAGAAGCACCGGCCAACUACGUGCCAGCAGCCGCAGUAAAAC